GCCGAGAUGGUGGAAUUGGUAGACACGAGGGACUUAAAAUCCCUUGCUAAUUAUUGGCGUGCGGGUUCGACCCCCGCUCUCGGCACCA
rnacentral:tRNA from 1 species